AAAAGCUCCAAAUCUGAAGAUGAUUUUCUGCCUAAAUCUUCUUGAGUAUCUUUGGUAUGAAGACUUUGUUUCUCCUCUGAGCUGUUUGUUGCAUCAUCUGUUGGACUAUAAAACAGAACAUCCAAUAUCAGACAAUGUCAGUAAAGCAACUCUAGACCCAACACUCCUGAAAUGAUACGAGCUUACAAGACACCUGUUAAGAUCUGGAGAAGAAACCUCAACAAAUAAGAGUAUACAGUCCUCUCUAGGGCUCUUGGGACUCGGGGUAAUCUCAACUGAUCCAUGGUUACCAGAACAAACCAAACCCUCUGAACCAGUUCAGUUCACUUCUGCAUAUACAGAUAAGAGUGAUUUAUUACAGUCACAUUCAUAACAGCGAUAAAUAUCACAAACUGUCUUCUGAAACUGUAAACACAUUUAAGUUAUUACUUUAUAUUUCUUUUAUUGUUAUUGCAUUUGUUGUUGAUGGUGGGCUCUUAGAAAAUCCAGUAUGUAACAGCUGUAUGAUGCAACCAUGCUGAACUCCUUUUCAAUGCUCUGGAAACCAUCAAAGAAUACA